UACGUAGGGGGCGAGCGUUGUCCGGAUUUAUUGGGCGUAAAGAGCGCGCAGGCGGUCGAUCAAGUCGAGUGUGAAAGCCCCCGGCUCAACUGGGGAGGGUCAUUCGAUACUGAUCGACUCGAAGGCAGGAGAGGGUAGUGGAAUUCCCGGUGUAGUGGUGAAAUGCGUAGAUAUCGGGAGGAACACCAGUGGCGAAGGCGACUACCUGGCCUGUUCUUGACGCUGAGGCGCGAAAGCUAGGGGAGCAAACGGG
rnacentral:rRNA from 1 species